AUACAUGUGAUAAAGCCUAACUUACGAAAGGCUGAAUUUAUUACAACAAAGCCAAUCAGACUUAUGUCUGUCUCAGGUUGACUCUGAAUAACUGAUCUAAUCGCACUGUCAUUGUACUGGCGAUAUAUCUUUCGAAUGUCUGCCUUAUCAACUGUUGAUGGUAGAUUAUGCGCCUACCAUGGUUGUUACGGGUAACGGAGAAUCAGGGUUUGAUUCCGGAGAGGGAGCCUGAGAAACAGCUACCACAUCCAAGGAAGGCAGCAGGCACGCAAAUUACCCACUCCCAGUUCGGGGAGGUAGUGACGAAAAAUAACGAGACGGUGCUCUAUGAGUGUCGUCAUCGGAAUGAGUACAACGCAAAUACUUUAACGAGUAUCUAUUGGAGGGCAAGUCUGGUGCCAGCAGCCGCGGUAAUUCCAGCUCCAAUAGUGUAUAUACUUGCUGUUGCGGUUAAAAAGCUCGUAGUUGGAUCUGAGGCUGUGAACAGCGGUCCCCUAAUGGGUUGUACUGCUGAUUCCGGUCUAUCUUAUCAGUGUGUUCACGGUGCCCUUAACUGKGUGUCGUGUGCUACUGGUUGUUUUACUUUGAAAAAAUUAGAGUGCUCAAAGCAAGCGAUUGCUCGAAUACUUGUGCAUGGAAUAAURGAAUAGGGCCUUGGUUCUAUUUUGUUGGUUUUAAGAGCACGAGGCAAUGAUUAAGAGAAACAGACGGGGGCAUUUGUAUUGCGACGUUAGAGGUGAAAUUCUUGGAUCGUCGCAAGACAAACAACUGCGAAAGCAUU
rnacentral:rRNA from 1 species